CCUACGGGUGGCAGCAGUGAGGAAUAUUGGUCAAUGGGCGAGAGUCUGAACCAGCCAAGUAGCGUGAAGGAUGACUGCCCUACGGGUUGUAAACUUCUUUUAUAUAGGAAUAAAAUAGGGUAUGUAUACCCUUUUGUAUGUACUAUAUGAAUAAGGAUCGGCUAACUCCGUGCCAGCAGCCGCGGUAAUACGGAGGAUCCGAGCGUUAUCCGGAUUUAUUGGGUUUAAAGGGAGCGUAGGUGGAUUGUUAAGUCAGUUGUGAAAGUUUGCGGCUCAACCGUAAAAUUGCAAUUGAGACUGGCAGUCUUGAGUACAGUAGAGGUGGGCGGAAUUCGUGGUGUAGCGGUGAAAUGCUUAGAUAUCACGAAGAACUCCGAUUGCGAAGGCAGCUCACUAGACUGCAACUGACAUUGAUGCUCGAAAGUGUGGGUAUCAAACAGGAUUAGAUACCCUUGUAGUC
rnacentral:rRNA from 1 species